rnacentral:sRNA from 1 species
GCCAGGUGCAGUGGCGCAUGCCUGCAAUCCUAGCAACUUGGGAGGCUAAGGCAGGAGGAUUGCAAGUUUGAGGCCAGCCUCAGCAGCUCAGCAUGAUCCUGUCUCAA